GUGAACAGCAAAUUGACAAGUUUGUGGUGAAAGCUGCGACACUUUAAAGGACAUAUAAUCUGCUGUGCUUUUCAAAAUCCCCAAAUAGUUAUCAGUGUUGCUGUUUGUCUUGGAACUGCAGUUUUCCAUGAAAGAAAGCCUGGUUUAGUCAAGAUAAGUGACCAAAACCAUACUAGAUUGCCAGAAUUCUUGAGCCUGACUGGAAAGUAAUUCUCUGAAGAGGUGGAAGAGCACGACGCUGCUGUGCACUGGUGUCUGGCUGCUGCCCUGCUG